GAUGAACGCUGGCGGCGUGCCUAAUACAUGCAAGUCGAGCGAACAGACGAGGAGCUUGCUCCUCUGACGUUAGCGGCGGACGGGUGAGUAACACGUGGAUAACCUACCUAUAAGACUGGGAUAACUUCGGGAAACCGGAGCUAAUACCGGAUAAUAUAUUGAACCGCAUGGUUCAAUAGUGAAAGACGGUUUUGCUGUCACUUAUAGAUGGAUCCGCGCCGCAUUAGCUAGUUGGUAAGGUAACAGCUUACCAAGGCAACGAUGCGUAGCCGACCUGAGAGGGUGAUCGGCCACACUGGAACUGAGACACGGUCCAGACUCCUACGGGAGGCAGCAGUAGGGAAUCUUCCGCAAUGGGCGAAAGCCUGACGGAGCAACGCCGCGUGAGUGAUGAAGGUCUUCGGAUCGUAAAACUCUGUUAUUAGGGAAGAACAAAUGUGUAAGUAGCUAUGCACGUCUUGACGGUACCUAAUCAGAAAGCCACGGCUAACUACGUG
rnacentral:rRNA from 1 species